rnacentral:lncRNA from 1 species
GUAAUUAUUUCUUUUUCCUCAAGAUUUAUAAAUUCUUCAAAUUGCUGAGUUGACCAAUCCGGUUAAACCGAACCGAAAACCAAUCCAAAAACCAGGUCGAGGAGAACUUAAACCGUAUCAAUUCUUAAUGUUUUGCUUACUUGUUUCUAAUUAUUUUGGAUUUUAUAGCUUUGAAGAGGCUAAACAAUGGAUUCCAGUAUUCAAACAAUCACGGUUUAUGCGGAGAUGGGUUCACGGAUUUGAAUGCUUGCACCGGUUUAAACGGUCCGAACCUAAACCGGCCAGACCCAACAAACCCAACGAAUUUCACAACCGUUGACGUGAAACCAGAAUCAGCAGAUUUACAACGAAGCAAUUGCAGUAACAACAAUGGCGGGUGUUCAUCAAAAACCUCAAAGUCUUCACCUUUAGGAAUCGUCAUGGGUCUUAUGGGUUCAAUCCUCGCAGUUGCAAUCUUUGGUGGUUCAACAUUCACAUGGUACAGACGAAGGAAACAAAAGAUUGGAAGCAGUCUUGAUGCAAUGGACGGUAGGAUUAGCACUGAGUACAACUUCAAAGAAGUUUCUAGAAGAAAAAGCUCUUCUCCAUUGAUCAGCCUAGAGUAUGCAAGUGGUUGGGAUCCGUUAGGACGAGGACAGAGCAGUAACAACAACAGUGCAUUGUCUCAAGAAGUCUUUGAGAGCUUUAUGUUCAAUCUUGAGGAGAUUGAGAGAGCUACUCAGAGCUUCUCUGAGGUUAACUUGUUGGGGAAGAGUAAUGUAUCUUCGGUUUAUAAAGGUAUCCUUAGAGAUGGUUCUGUUGCAGCUGUAAAAUGUAUAGCGAAAUCGAGCUGUAAAUCCGAUGAAUCCGAGUUUCUCAAAGGGUUGAAGACGCUGACAUUGUUGAAGCAUGAGAAUUUAGUGAGGUUGAGAGGAUUCUGCUGCUCAAAAGGACGUGGAGAAUGUUUCCUUAUCUAUGAGUUUGUCCCCAAUGGUAAUCUUUUGCAGUAUCUUGAUGUGAAGGAUGAGACUGGAGAGGUUCUCGAAUGGACAACUCGAGUUUCCAUCAUUAAUGGCAUCGCCAGAGGUUGGAUUCUGCGAUUCCUUCUUUCGCAAACCAAAUUCGGUUUUUGUAUGUAAAAAUCUGAUGUCUGUUUUUUUUUUUCUUUCUUUCAGGGAUUGUUUACCUACAUGGAGAAAAUGGAAACAAGCCUGCAAUAGUUCACCAGAAUCUAUCUGCAGAGAAGAUUCUCAUUGAUCAUUGGUAUAAUCCUUCUCUUGCGGAUUCCGGUCUUCACAAGCUUUUCACGGAUGACAUCGUUUUCUCGAAGCUCAAAGCAAGUGCGGCAAUGGGAUACUUAGCUCCUGAGUACAUAACUACAGGGAGGUUUACUGAUAAGAGCGACGUGUAUGCCUUUGGUAUGAUUCUGUUGCAGAUACUGAGUGGUAAAAGCAAAAUCAGCCAUUUGAUGAUCUUACAAGCUGUAGAGUCAGGAAGACUGAAUGAAGACUUCAUGGAUCCAAAUCUUCGAAAGAACUUCCCGGAAGCAGAAGCAGCUGAGCUCGCUAGACUUGGUCUUCUCUGCACCCAUGAAUCCUCAAACCAGAGACCAUCCAUGGAAGACGUUAUGCAAGAACUGAACAAACUCGCAGCGAAUUAUUAGUUUCCGUUUAACAAGAUUCUUGCUUUUAAUGUCCAAGAAUUGGCAUACCAAGGUUUCAGAAUAUCACCAUUCCCCUGAUGUUAACUCUGUUUUUAGGUUCAGUGUAACAAUCUUAUCUCCUUGUAACUGUAGCUGAUGUACUUAGGCUGUAAAAACAAUCACUUUUCAGAAGUUUUAGGUGAUCUUGUGGGAAGUGUUUUUUUCAGACAUAUCUUAGCUGCAUCCAACCAACAUGUGAAUAUGUUGUGACAUUGUCUUCAUGUAUGGGCAAGGAAUUGCAGAUUAGGUUAAAGCUCUUGAAAAUAUAUCGCUGCACAAUCGUUUUAUCUACAAUGUAUUGGAAACUUCAAUGCUAUCUACAAAGAACUCAUGGACUCUUCCAUCGAGCUCAAUCCAACUACAUCCAGGAAUUUUCUCUAUCUUUCUUUCCUUCAUCAUCGUUCUAACUCUACGAACAUCCUUCCACAUUCCAAAACUAGCAUACAUGUUAGAGAGAAGCACAUAUGAGCUCGGGUUAUAGCCAGCCUGCAAAAUAAGGUGUUUCGCGACAAGCUCUCCCGUUUCAAACUCCUUGUGGUGACUACAAGCGGUGAGAAAUGUUCUCCAUAUGACAUCAUUUGGCUCAAUUGGCAUUUCCUCUAUUAAGUUUUUGGCUAGCUCUAUACUACCGGAUCUCGAUAGUAUGUCGACCAUACACCCAUAGUGUUGCAACCUUGGUUCUAUCUUGUGUUUUCUCCUCAUGAGCUCAAAGCAGAGAAGGCCUUCCUUCACUAAUCCAGAGUGGCUACAAGCAUUUAAAACUCCAACAAAGGUGAUAUCAUCUGGUAUUAUGGAGAGUCUCUCGAUCUGCAAGAGCAUAUUGAAUGCGGAUUCUCCAAGACCAUGAACAGCUAGCCCACCAAUCAUAGCAUUCCAGUGAUCAAUGCUUUUGUUUUCGAUUCCCUCGAAAACCAACAUGGCGUGUUGUAUGCUUCCGCAUUUCGAAUACAUAUCAAUGAGAGCAACGCCGAGUUUUCCACCUAGAUAGAAUUGUUUCUCCACAAUAUACAAAUGCAUAUCGGUGGCUUUCGAUAAUCGGCCAAGCUGAGCAAUUGCAGAAAGAAUGAUUACCAAAGUCGUUUCAUCGGGUGACAAGUGACUCUCCUUUUCCAUGUCGUUAAAUAUUUCAAGAGCUUCCAUGUGACACUUGUUUUGAACAUAACCAGCCAUCAUAGAAUUAUAUGCCACAACAUCUCUAAGAGGCAUUUGGUCAAACAGAGUCUUAGCCUGAUGAACAAAACCUAACUUUGCAUACCCAUCAAUCAUGGUAGCACAAGUAACCACAUCUCUUCUCGGCAUCACAUCAAAUAAACCCUUAGCAUCCUCGAUUCUUCCGUGUUUUACAUAUCCAUCGAUCAUUGAGUUCCAUGAAAUCAAGUCCUUCUCAGGCAUUUCAGCAAACAGUUUUGACGCUAUGCUGCAAUUGCAUCUACACUUAAGAAGCAUGGUGCCACUCUAAGUUUUGUAUCCGGAGAAGUGCAAGUUCUAAACCGUCCGGAUGAUUUCUCAGGAGCAUUAGGAGAACCUGAGGCAGUAGCUUGGCAGUAAAGAAAACACAGCAUAUCAGUUUCUUAAGCCUGCGCUUAUCAGUAAUCACCAAAACCUCAAAGCUAAACUUAUUUUUUUGCAGGUGUUAAACGCUGCGUGGGACAGCGAUACAUCGGUUGCUCGAGAGAACUCGCUUCCUCGCUUCCUCGCCAUGAUAGAGUUGGGUAUAACAAAAUGUUAGAAUUUAGAUAGCGUCAAGUUUCGGAACGAUCCAGAUAAACUCAAAUCGUAUGGGCUUUAUUAUUGGGCUAACAUUAAGAUAAAAAGAUCAGCACCGACAUAGUCCCUCCUCCUAAUGUAGAAAACCAGAAGGUCCCACAUCGAUAGUAGCAGGAAUCAGCUGUUGGCAUAAUAUUCUAUAAAUAAUCAGUACCUCAACUAGCAAUAUUCUCAUAAAGAUUAUUGGGCCUUUGAUUAAUGUCAGGCCCGAGAUCGUUAAUACCGAAACAUUUUUCAGUUAAGUUUAACCUUUUUUUUUGGUUUUUUUUUUUUGUUUCAACUCUUUUUUUUUUUUAUUAAUACUAAAUUAACAUGACGUUGUGAAAUCUAACCGGAUUUUGGAUCCCGUCAUUUAACCGUGAUCGUUAGCGAUUCCACAAAUCCAACAUGUUGUUCACUUCUUAAUGUAAAUUUAGUAUUUUUUUUGGUUUUUUUUCAAAAGUUUUUCAAUUCUUUUAAAAAAAAAACAUUUUGUUUUGAUUUUUUACUUCAUUUUUUUUUGUUUUUAAAAAUAAUAAAUUAACAUGACGUUGUGAAAACUAACCGGAUUUUGGAUCCCGCCAUUUAACCGUGGUCGUUAGCGAUUCCACAAAUCCAACAUGUUUUUCACAUCUUAAUGUAAAUUUAGUAUUUUUUAUAUUUUCUUUUCAAAAGCUUUUCAACUUUUUUUUUUUUUUAAUUUUUUAAAAAGUUUUUCAACUCUUUUUUUUUUUAAAAAAACUUUUUGUUUUGAUUUUUUUCUUCAUUUUUUUAAGUUUUUAAAAAUACUAAACUAACAUUGACGUUGUGAAAACUAACCGGAUUUCGGAUCCCGCCAUUUAACCGUGGUCGUUAGCGAUUCCACAAAUCCAACAUGUUUUUUCACAUCAUAAUGUAAAUUUAGUAUUUUUUAUGUUUUUUUUUCAAAAGUUUUUCAACUCUUUUUUUCAAAAAAAAAUGAUUUUUUUCUUCAUUUUUGAAGUUUUUAAAAAAUACUAAAUUAACAUGACGUAGUAAAAACUAACCGGAUUUUGGAUCCCGUCAUUUAACCGUGGUCGUUAGCUAUUCCACAAAUCCAACAUGUUUUUCACAUUUUAAUGUAAAUUUAGCAUUUAUUUUUUACUUUUUUUUUCUUCAAAAGUUUUCAACUCUUUUAUUUCUUUUUUUUUAUUUUGUUUUAUUUUAUUUAAGUUUUUUAUAAAUACUAAAUUAAUACGUUAACGAGGCUUGAUUUGAGCUUCAACAACCUCUUUGGUCCUGUUCCGGUGAAACUCGCUGGUGCUCCUUUGCUUGAAGUUCUCGACAUUCGUAAUAACCCUUUGCCGGCUUCGUUCCCUCUGGUAAUUAUUUCUUUUUCCUCCAGAUUCAUAAAUUCUUCAAUUUGCUGAAUGAUUAGAGUUGACCAUUCCGGUUAAACCGAACCGAAAACCAAUCCAAAAACCGUAUCAAUUCUUAAUGUUUUGCUUACUUGUUUCUGAUUAUUUUGGAUUUUAUAGCUUUGAAGAGGCUAAACAAUGGAUUCCAGUAUUCAAACAAUCACGGUUUAUGCGGAGAUGGGUUCACGGAUUUGAAUGCUUGCACCGGUUUAAACGGUCCGAACCUAAACCGGCCAGACCCAACAAACCCAACGAAUUUCACAACCGUUGACGUGAAACCAGAAUCAGCAGAUUUACAACGAAGCAAUUGCAGUAACAAUAAUGGCGUGUGUUCAUCAAAAACCUCAAAGUCUUCACCUUUAGGAAUCGUCAUGGGUCUUAUGGGUUCAAUCCUCGCAGUUGCAAUCUUUGGUGGUUCAACAUUCACAUGGUACAGACGAAGGAAACAAAAGAUUGGAAGCAGUCUUGAUGCAAUGGACGGUAGGAUUAGCACUGAGUACAACUUCAAAGAAGUUUCUAGAAGAAAAAGCUCUUCUCCAUUGAUCAGCCUAGAGUAUGCAAGUGGUUGGGAUCCGUUAGGACGAGGACAGAGCAGUAACAACAACAGUGCAUUGUCUCAAGAAGUCUUUGAGAGCUUUAUGUUCAAUCUUGAGGAGAUUGAGAGAGCUACUCAGAGCUUCUCUGAGGUUAACUUGUUGGGGAAGAGUAAUGUAUCUUCGGUUUAUAAAGGUAUCCUUAGAGAUGGUUCUGUUGCAGCUGUAAAAUGUAUAGCGAAAUCGAGCUGUAAAUCCGAUGAAUCCGAGUUUCUCAAAGGGUUGAAGACGCUGACAUUGUUGAAGCAUGAGAAUUUAGUGAGGUUGAGAGGAUUCUGCUGCUCAAAAGGACGUGGAGAAUGUUUCCUUAUCUAUGAGUUUGUCCCCAAUGGUAAUCUUUUGCAGUAUCUUGAUGUGAAGGAUGAGACUGGAGAGGUUCUCGAAUGGACAACUCGAGUUUCCAUCAUUAAUGGCAUCGCCAGAGGUUGGAUUCUGCGAUUCCUUCUUUCGCAAACCAAAUUCGGUUUUUGUAUGUAAAAAUCUGAUGUCUGUUUUUUUUUUUCUUUCUUUCAGGGAUUGUUUACCUACAUGGAGAAAAUGGAAACAAGCCUGCAAUAGUUCACCAGAAUCUAUCUGCAGAGAAGAUUCUCAUUGAUCAUUGGUAUAAUCCUUCUCUUGCGGAUUCCGGUCUUCACAAGCUUUUCACGGAUGACAUCGUUUUCUCGAAGCUCAAAGCAAGUGCGGCAAUGGGAUACUUAGCUCCUGAGUACAUAACUACAGGGAGGUUUACUGAUAAGAGCGACGUGUAUGCCUUUGGUAUGAUUCUGUUGCAGAUACUGAGUGGUAAAAGCAAAAUCAGCCAUUUGAUGAUCUUACAAGCUGUAGAGUCAGGAAGACUGAAUGAAGACUUCAUGGAUCCAAAUCUUCGAAAGAACUUCCCGGAAGCAGAAGGAGCUGAGCUCGCUAGACUUGGUCUUCUCUGCACCCAUGAAUCCUCAAACCAGAGACCAUCCAUGGAAGACGUUAUGCAAGAACUGAACAAACUCGCAGCGAAUUAUUAGUUUCCGUUUAACAAGAUUCUUGCUUUUAAUGUCCAAGAAUUGGCAUACCAAGGUUUCAGAAUAUCACCAUUCCCCUGAUGUUAACUCUGUUUUUAGGUUCAGUGUAACAAUCUUAUCUCCUUGUAACUGUAGCUGAUGUACUUAGGCUGUAAAAACAAUCACUUUUCAGAAGUUUUAGGUGAUCUUGUGGGAAGUGUUUUUUUCAGACAUAUCUUAGCUGCAUCCAACCAACAUGUGAAUAUGUUGUGACAUUGUCUUCAUGUAUGGGCAAGGAAUUGCAGAUUAGGUUAAAGCUCUUGAAAAUAUAUCGCUGCACAAUCGUUUUAUCUACAAUGUAUUGGAAACUUCAAUGCUAUCUACAAAGAACUCAUGGACUCUUCCAUCGAGCUCAAUCCAACUACAUCCAGGAAUUUUCUCUAUCUUUCUUUCCUUCAUCAUCGUUCUAACUCUACGAACAUCCUUCCACAUUCCAAAACUAGCAUACAUGUUAGAGAGAAGCACAUAUGAGCUCGGGUUAUAGCCAGCCUGCAAAAUAAGGUGUUUCGCGACAAGCUCUCCCGUUUCAAACUCCUUGUGGUGACUACAAGCGGUGAGAAAUGUUCUCCAUAUGACAUCAUUUGGCUCAAUUGGCAUUUCCUCUAUUAAGUUUUUGGCUAGCUCUAUACUACCGGAUCUCGAUAGUAUGUCGACCAUACACCCAUAGUGUUGCAACCUUGGUUCUAUCUUGUGUUUUCUCCUCAUGAGCUCAAAGCAGAGAAGGCCUUCCUUCACUAAUCCAGAGUGGCUACAAGCAUUUAAAACUCCAACAAAGGUGAUAUCAUCUGGUAUUAUGGAGAGUCUCUCGAUCUGCAAGAGCAUAUUGAAUGCGGAUUCUCCAAGACCAUGAACAGCUAGCCCACCAAUCAUAGCAUUCCAGUGAUCAAUGCUUUUGUUUUCGAUUCCCUCGAAAACCAACAUGGCGUGUUGUAUGCUUCCGCAUUUCGAAUACAUAUCAAUGAGAGCAACGCCGAGUUUUCCACCUAGAUAGAAUUGUUUCUCCACAAUAUACAAAUGCAUAUCGGUGGCUUUCGAUAAUCGGCCAAGCUGAGCAAUUGCAGAAAGAAUGAUUACCAAAGUCGUUUCAUCGGGUGACAAGUGACUCUCCUUUUCCAUGUCGUUAAAUAUUUCAAGAGCUUCCAUGUGACACUUGUUUUGAACAUAACCAGCCAUCAUAGAAUUAUAUGCCACAACAUCUCUAAGAGGCAUUUGGUCAAACAGAGUCUUAGCCUGAUGAACAAAACCUAACUUUGCAUACCCAUCAAUCAUGGUAGCACAAGUAACCACAUCUCUUCUCGGCAUCACAUCAAAUAAACCCUUAGCAUCCUCGAUUCUUCCGUGUUUUACAUAUCCAUCGAUCAUUGAGUUCCAUGAAAUCAAGUCCUUCUCAGGCAUUUCAGCAAACAGUUUUGACGCUAUGCUGCAAUUGCAUCUACACUUAAGAAGCAUGGUGCCACUCUAAGUUUUGUAUCCGGAGAAGUGCAAGUUCUAAACCGUCCGGAUGAUUUCUCAGGAGCAUUAGGAGAACCUGAGGCAGUAGCUUGGCAGUAAAGAAAACACAGCAUAUCAGUUUCUUAAGCCUGCGCUUAUCAGUAAUCACCAAAACCUCAAAGCUAAACUUAUUUUUUUGCAGGUGUUAAACGCUGCGUGGGACAGCGAUGCUCGAGAGAACUCGCUUCCUCGCUUCCUCGCUUCCUCGCCAUGAUAGAGUUGGGUAUAACAAAAUGUUAGAAUUUAGAUAGCGUUAAGUUUCGGAACGAUCCAGAUAAACUCAAAUCGUAUGGGCUUUAUUAUUGGGCUAACAUUAAGAUAAAAAGAUCAGCACCGACAUAGUCCCUCCUCCUAAUGUAGAAAACCAGAAGGUCCCACAUCGAUAGUAGCAGGAAUCAGCUGUUGGCAUAAUAUUCUAUAAAUAAUCAGUACCUCAACUAGCAAUAUUCUCAUAAAGAUUAUUGGGCCUUUGAUUAAUGUCAGGCCCGAGAUCGUUAAUACCGAAACAUUUUUCAGUUAAGUUUAACCUUUUUUUUUGGUUUUUUUUUUUUGUUUCAACUCUUUUUUUUUUUUAUUAAUACUAAAUUAACAUGACGUUGUGAAAUCUAACCGGAUUUUGACUUCUUAAUGUAAAUUUAGUAUUUUUUUUGGUUUUUUUUCAAAAGUUUUUCAAUUCUUUUAAAAAAAAAACUUUUUGUUUUGAUUUUUUACUUCAUUUUUUUUUGUUUUUAAAAAUAAUAAAUUAACAUGACGUUGUGAAAACUAACCGGAUUUUGGAUCCCGCCAUUUAACCGUGGUCGUUAGCGAUUCCACAAAUCCAACAUGUUUUUCACAUCUUAAUGUAAAUUUAGUAUUUUUUAUAUUUUCUUUUCAAAAGCUUUUCAACUUUUUUUUUUUUUAAUUUUUUAAAAAGUUUUUCAACUCUUUUUUUUUUUAAAAAAACUUUUUGUUUUGAUUUUUUUCUUCAUUUUUUUAAGUUUUUAAAAAUACUAAACUAACAUUGACGUUGUGAAAACUAACCGGAUUUCGGAUCCCGCCAUUUAACCGUGGUCGUUAGCGAUUUCACAAAUCCAACAUGUUUUUUCACAUCAUAAUGUAAAUUUAGUAUUUUUUAUGUUUUUUUUUCAAAAGUUUUUCAACUCUUUUUUUCAAAAAAAAAUGAUUUUUUUCUUCAUUUUUGAAGUUUUUAAAAAAUACUAAAUUAACAUGACGUAGUAAAAACUAACCGGAUUUUGGAUCCCGUCAUUUAACCGUGGUCGUUAGCUAUUCCACAAAUCCAACAUGUUUUUCACAUUUUAAUGUAAAUUUAGCAUUUAUUUUUUACUUUUUUUUUCUUCAAAAGUUUUCAACUCUUUUAUUUCUUUUUUUUUAUUUUGUUUUAUUUUAUUUAAGUUUUUUAUAAAUACUAAAUUAAUACGUUAACGAGGCUUGAUUUGAGCUUCAACAACCUCUUUGGUCCUGUUCCGGUGAAACUCGCUGGUGCUCCUUUGCUUGAAGUUCUCGACAUUCGUAAUAACCCUUUGCCGGCUUCGUUCCCUCUGGUAAUUAUUUCUUUUUCCUCCAGAUUCAUAAAUUCUUCAAUUUGCUGAAUGAUUAGAGUUGACCAUUCCGGUUAAACCGAACCGAAAACCAAUCCAAAAACCGUAUCAAUUCUUAAUGUUUUGCUUACUUGUUUCUGAUUAUUUUGGAUUUUAUAGCUUUGAAGAGGCUAAACAAUGGAUUCCAGUAUUCAAACAAUCACGGUUUAUGCGGAGAUGGGUUCACGGAUUUGAAUGCUUGCACCGGUUUAAACGGUCCGAACCUAAACCGGCCAGACCCAACAAACCCAACGAAUUUCACAACCGUUGACGUGAAACCAGAAUCAGCAGAUUUACAACGAAGCAAUUGCAGUAACAAUAAUGGCGUGUGUUCAUCAAAAACCUCAAAGUCUUCACCUUUAGGAAUCGUCAUGGGUCUUAUGGGUUCAAUCCUCGCAGUUGCAAUCUUUGGUGGUUCAACAUUCACAUGGUACAGACGAAGGAAACAAAAGAUUG